rnacentral:lncRNA from 1 species
CCUCUGUGCAACAGGGGAAACAGCACAGCAUAGGGAACCAUUGAUCUUAGGAAGAGCUUGUUAGUAGAUUUCGGCUUGCUUAGGUAUUGUUAGGGGAAGGGUUCAAAGAAGAGUGGUUUUGGUUUGGAUUGGAUGCUGGCAGAAUCUAAAAGUGUAAUUAGCAAAAACAUGGGAGUUACUCAAAUUAGCUGGAACUAGAGGUGUUGGGUUAUUCCUGUGGUUUGUAUAGUGUUCUUAUUUUUGCAUGUGUUUCAAUGAUUAUGCAGUGAUCUUGUUUUUGUCUUGCUCUACAUUGUGAUCAUCCAGGGACCUUAUGUGAUCUCCUUCUCACUCUCUUUCUUGCUCUACACAGCCACAGACAUACCUUCCACCUCUUACUCACUGCACGAACCCGUGGACCCGCACACAUACUCACGAAAAUGCUCACAUGCUCAUAAAAAUGCUU